rnacentral:lncRNA from 7 species
GUCCAAUGGGGGAUUUUUGAAGAGCAAAAGUGUGAUUUUCGAGUUAAAUGGGGGAUUUUCCAAGAGAAAAUGUGUGAUUUUGGGGAUGAUGGGG